UACGUAGGUGGCAAGCGUUGUCCGGAUUUACUGGGCGUAAAGAGCGCGCAGGCGGUCGGCCAAGUCGAGUGUGAAAGCCCCCGGCUCAACUGGGGAGGGUCAUUCGAUACUGGUCGACUCGAAGGCAGGAGAGGGAAGCGGAAUUCCCGGUGUAGGUGUGGAAAUGCGUAGAUAUCGGGAGGAACACCAGUGGCGAAGGCGGCUUCCUGGCCUGUUCUUGACGCUG
rnacentral:rRNA from 1 species